rnacentral:rRNA from 1 species
UACGGAGGGCGCAAGCGUUGUUCGGAAUCACUGGGCGUAAAGCGCGUGUAGGCGGCUUGGCAAGUCGGAUGUGAAAUCCCGAGGCUCAACCUCGGAACUGCACUCGAACCUGCCUGGCUCGAGUCCCGGAGAGGGUGGCGGAAUUCCCGGUGUAGGUGUGAAAUCCGUAGAUAUCGGGAGGAACACCAGUGGCGAAGGCGGCCACCUGGACGGUGACUGACGCUGAGACGCGAAAGCGCGGGGAGCAAACAGG